rnacentral:lncRNA from 1 species
GUUUAUGUUUUCAGCAGUCAACCAAGAGUCUACCUCUGUUAGGGACUGUGUGGGGUGUAGCAGAAAGGAUGCAGACUACUGGCUCUCAGAGGAUUGCUACCUGGUGAGAGUGGACACACAAGAGAGCCUGAGAGCUUUAACUGAGAGUUGAAGUUAUUCUGGAGGAGGAAGAAGGUGGUGUGACCAACCCAUGAGGGUUUGCAUCGGGGGACAAAUGUUGAGUGCAGCAUUUGAAUGGCACGCCGUCUUCUCCAGACAGUGGUCAUGAAUUAAAAUGGAUAUCCAACUGUUCCAUGAGGCAACGAAUGGGGAUUUUACAUAUUAAUCUCAUUCUUUAGAUCAGCAUUGUCUGCUGGAGCUCUCUGCUACCUGGGAAGGCUCUGCAUUUGGGCUGUCAAAGCCACAAGCUCAGACAAUGAAGAUGGCAAACUGAAGUCUUCCUCUAUAGGCACAACUUUGCAUCAGACAUUUGAUGGGAGAGGUCCAUCUUUGAAGGGAAGUUUUAUUUAAGUCUGUCCCUGGAUCCACAUCAUCCGUACGUCUGUCUACAGGGCAAAAAACUUCAUCUUUCAUGAGUGCAAUUUCAAACUUGGUGCCAACGAGAGACAUCUUCCCUGGACUCAAAUGCGCGAAGCCUGAACAGGACAUCUUGAGUGUUAGCUUCUCUGGGAUGGCUGCGGUGUGCAGCACAUUUUUGUUAAGGUGUUAUUCAAAGUUUCUGAUUAACAUAAGUUUUUCUUAAAAUUAUACAAAAACAUAAUACCAUGAUUAUGGAAAUAAAAAGCCACCCACAAGCUUACUAUCUUUACAAACCA